rnacentral:rRNA from 1 species
AUUGAACGCUGGCGGCAGGCUUAACACAUGCAAGUCGAGCGGGGUGAUGGUGCUUGCACUAUCACUUAGCGGCGGACGGGUGAGUAAUGCCUAGGAAUCUGCCUAUUAGUGGGGGACAACAUCUCGAAAGGGAUUCUAAUACCGCAUACGUCCUACGGGAGAAAGCAGGGGAUCACUUGUGACCUUGCGCUAAUAGAUGAACCUUAGUCGGAUUAGCUAGUUGGUGGGGUAAAGGCCUACCAAGGCGACGAUCUGUAGCGGGUCUGAGAGGAUGAUCCGCCACACUGGGACUGAGACACGGCCCAGACUCCUACGGGAGGCAGCAGUGGGGAAUAUUGGACAAUGGGGGGAACCCUGAUCCAGCCAUGCCGCGUGUGUGAAGAAGGCCUUAUGGUUGUAAAGCACUUUAAGCGAGGAGGAGGCUCUUUUGGUUAAUACCCAAGAUGAGUGGACGUUACUCGCAGAAUAAGCACCGGCUAACUCCGUGCCAGCCGCCGCCGUAACAC